UCUUGUUGUAAUCCUUGAUGGCGUUCUCAUAGCCUUCCUCCAGCCUCGCGAACGCCAGGCCCACCUCCGUGGUCCACCAGAUCUGGGUGCACGUGAGCGCGACCUGAAACAGACAGGCGCCACCUCCCACGCGACAGUCCCCGCCGGCACGUGGCUGCUCUCCGUCGCGGCCGCCCCCGCCCAGCCCCGCACCUGCGCCGGGUAAUCGAAGAUCCACUGCUCCCUCGGCUUUUCCUCGUAUGUCACGACGGCUUCCGGAAUCUCGUGGCGCAGCGUGGCGCACAUGCGGUCCAGCACGCGGUUCAGCCAGACCUCCACCUGGGGACGGGAGCCACACUGACGCCACCGGCCCCGAGCGCCGCCGUUUGCCCUCGCUGUCGUCCCCGGGGUCGAAGGGUCAGGGUUUUCGUGGAGCAGUAAGAGCGACCCACUGAAAAAUGAGGUUGGGCAGCCGGGUGGUGGCCCUCACGACCUGUCGUGCUGGCGUUCGUGUGUGCAGCGCUAUAGUUCUAGGCGGACAAGGGAGGGGACCCAGAGAAAAUUCUAGAAGAGAAGACAGGCUACGUCUGAGCCCCUGAGGCGCUGCUGACGUUGGGAGACGCGGCAUCUGUCCUCUCGAGUCCCCGGCGGGUUCUGGGCUGCUCCUCGGGUGCCUGGUCUCAGCGUCCGGGUCGGUCACGUGGGGACGAACUUGCAGACCAGCCACCUUUGUAUUUUAAAAUACGAACCCUCAGCUAGUCACUACCGGUUGGGGGAAAAGCCAAGCAGGAUAAUCGGCUUGGUUUUUCUUUUCAGCUGUGAACACAGUGCGGUGGCCUGCGGUGGCGUCUGCAGGGAGCUAAGCGCAGGGAGCGGGUCUCGACACACGGCGAUGACGGGGCUCGUCCCGGCGCCCACCAGCCCCGUCCACGCAGAGCAAACCAGCCCGGAGCUCUCGGUGCCCACGCUUCUGAAGCUCGGGUUUUCUGCAUGAGAUUUUCCUUUUGUCCCCAGCUGACUUCUCUCCAAAUUACAUGUCGCUUAGGAUAAUGUCAACAUCCGGGCACCUGGGUGGCUCAGUGCUUGAUCCUGGGUCCCGGGAUCAAGUCCCCCAUCGGGGUCCCCUCGGAGAACCCGCUUCUCCCUCUGCCUGUGUCUCUGCCUCUCUCUGUGUCUCUCAUGAAUAAAUAAGUUAAAAUCUUUUUUUUUUUUUUUAAAGGACAAAAGGAUAAUGUCAAAGUCGAUUUGGCUGCUGAGUUGGUGGUGAGAUGGGGAGAGGUGUCGUGGAGAUGUUGUCAGUGGCAGGAGGCAGCCUCGCGGGCAGCUGGGGAAGGGACGGGGCGGCUUGGGGUGAGGAGACCUCUCUGGUAAGUCAGAGCCCUAAAUAAAGCCCGUUAUUCUGAACAGGGGUUAGAACUCGGUGGUUCCUUGGCAAGGGUGCAGCGGCCUCCUCCCCUCCCCUCCUUCUCUCUCUGUGCUUUUCUCAAGACUCGGCCCAGACCGCGCAGGUCACGCUGUGCUGGAAAUUCUAUAUGGAAGCAGUCCAAGCGCUUGUCGGAUCGAGGGACAGUCACGGGCUGGGGUGGCCGCGGCGACACCCCUGCCAGAGCACGAGUGGCUUCCUCCGACAGCCACUGCGCGGUCGCCCACUGUCACCCUGGACGUGCCCCCCGGCACUCACCUGCCCUGAGAGGUCACACUCCUGGUCGAAGUCCACAUACUCGUCCUCCUUGCUGAACAUCCCCAGGCCGAACUUGAGAGGCUUCUCCUCCUCAUCCAGGCGAAACUUGAGUUUACACAGGCUGUCGAACAGCUUGGCCAGAGCCUCCUCUUGGCUUCUGGGGCCCUGGAUCCGUGGUGCAUCACCAAGUCCCUGGCAUUUAACCCAUUUUCCAGAUGAGGAAAACGAGGCACGGAGGCUCUCUGUCAUGGCAGGACCCCCGGUGGUUUCUGGCGUGGAUGACCCUGUGGAGGUGGUACAGGGACAUCCACGCACAUGCCUCCCACCGGCCAGGGCUAGCCAGACAUCUGCUCAUCUGGGGGUGAGCAUGGGGCCACCUGCGGAGGGGAGGCGGCCUAUCCUUCAAAAUAGCAGGGGCCACCUACCUCCACGGGGUCAUUUCCGUUGGAGAGGAUGUCCAGGAGGUCAGCCGAGGAGACAAAGUAGAACCUCGGGAAAGCCAGUCUUUUGGUCUCUAAAUACUCCGCCAAGGCCUUUUCGCACACAGCCAAGCUAGGAGGAGGGAGGAACCAAGGCUGUCCAGGCCUUCUGCAGCCCAUCCUGCCCGCGCUGGGCGACAGCCCUGGAGGCACCUGUCUGUUGUUCACAGCCCCGGUUUAAUUCAGACCUUCGAAUCUGACACGCCGUGCGGGCAUCCCUCUGAGGCUGGAGACACGCUGUGUGGCCAGUGUGACACCAUGUGGCCCAGAGCACGAGCUCCCAGGGAGGAGAGUUUGCCCUGUCCUGGGUGGCGGGGGCUGAUGGCUCAGGUCCCUGCUGCCAGGACACAUCUCACCUGGACAGGUGUGGGGACCCACCUUUUCUUCAGGUUCUCAAGUUUGUCGUAGAGACCGGGUUUGUUGGUGGCUUCCACCACGUUGGGCGUUUUCACCGCUUCUUCCAUCAGGGCCUGGAAGGAGCCAGGCCCCCCAGGAUGUUAGUGGCCGUGUUUUCUCUGGCGUAGUAGCCAUUUCUGAAAAUGCCCAGGGGGAGGGAGAAGGCUCUGCUCACCUUGAACUCCAGGUCAAUGUCGUCAAAGCGCUUGGAGUCCUCCGGUAGCUGGGCACGGAUGUCUUCAGAACCGAUGAAGAUGCUCUCCAGGUGGCUCCAGGUCCUCUGGACCUCAAACCAGAUGGAGAUGACCGAGUCCGCCGUGGACAGCUUCUGCUGCCAGCUUGUCACCUCCUUCAGGAAGUGGGACAGGUACUUGGACAUCAUCAGGUUCUGCAGCUGCACCUGGUUGUCCUCCAGAGUCUCCACCAGCACCUCGUCUGACUUGAGCAUCAUGGUGCCCGUGCGUGGGUGUGGCUCAUGCUCAAACUCCAUGGUGGACCACGUGGCAUCUAGGGCUUUCAGCACCUUUCGGGGGACACGGAAACUACGUCACUCGGCGUCUGGCAUGAAGGGCUGAGAAGGACCCGGAAUGAAGCCCUGCUUUGAGAAAUCCAGAACAUUCAUACCAACACCAUCGACAAUUGCCAAAAGGUGGAAACGACCCAAAUGUCUGUCAACAGAUGAACAGAAAAUAUGGACGGGUCAUCAGAAUACAGUUCAGCCAUAAAAAGGAAUGAAGCUCUGACUCAGGCUCCCACCCGGAUGGACCUUGACGACAUUACGCCGCAUGAAGGAAGGCAGAUAGGCAAGGCCAUCUCUUGUGUGAUUCCAUUUAUAUGAAAUGUCCAGAAUCGGCAAGUCCGUAGGGACAGAAAGGUUAGUGGGUGCCUAGAGGUGGGAUGGGGAUAUAUGGGAAAAUGGCAGGUUUCUAGAGGGAAUGGCUUGCUUUUUGAGUUGGUGAAAAUGCUCUCACAUUGAAUAAUUCUACCCUGUGAUGGUCGCUCACAUCUGUGAAUAUGCUAAAAGCCACUGAAUUGGACACGUUAAAUGAAUGAACCAUAUGGUAUGUGAAUUACAGCUCAAUCAGGCUGUUAAAAAAAAAAAGCAGGCGGCGGGAGGGGGGAGAAGAAAGCCAAAAUGUGAUGACUCACACUCACCAAACAGGUGAGGGGAGAGAUUUGAAUUGCAGAAGGAGCCCUCCCGUGUUUCCCUGCGUCCUGAGACUGCCCCAGCCGGUGGCGCAUCAUCCACUCUGAUGGCCAGUCCUCCUGCCUUCCCUCCUUCGGCCUCUUCUCCAAAGUCACAAACAAGGGUGCUCCACGAGAGGAGAGAGUUUGGGGCAUUUUUAAAUGUGCGUACGACUGCACACAGGGGACAGGGCCAUAUUCCUUUUUUCAGUAAUAAAUUCUGGAACUACUUUACAAGAUUUCUGUCAUGGUUUAGUUAUGAAAAGUCCACUGAUCUUUGUUUUUGCGUUAAGUGACCACCGGACCCUACAAGAAAUGAGAUGCUCAUAGGUGCUGGGCUCAUGGGUUCACUUCAGCAUCAUCCCAUACAGAACACAUUUGGGUGUCGAUAAAAAAAAUAAAAACAAACAAACAAACAAAAAAACACCUUUUCCAUCCCAGACUCUUUCACAGACUUGUCAACGAUAUUUCGGACCUCGUCCUCAUAUUUGUGAAGGUUCAGCUGCAGUAAAUCUGCCAGCGUGGUCUCAUCUGACAUUUCAAAUUUCACCUGGGGGAGGAAUAGGCAUGUUCAUGUAAGGUCAUUUGUACUGGACACUGUCUUUGUCCUUGGUGGAGAGGCCAGUUAGUGAGUAAUCCGGGCCACAAGGGGGGCUCUGCGUCACCCUUUACUGGCUCCAUGACUUGGGUGAGUUACUUCCCUAAGACUCGCCUUUCCUCCGGGUAACACUGUGUAAUAGUAGAGCCCACCUGUAGUGGUUUGAAGUGUUUCUCCCAAAUUCCUGUCCACCCAGACCUCAGAAUGUGAUCUUAUUUGGAAAUAGGGUCUUUGCAGAUAUUAAGGAUCUUGAGAUGAGCGCCCCUGGAUCGUCUGCGUGCGCCCUAAAUGACAGCAGUCCUUGCAAGAGAAGGGGGCGCGGAUUUGAAAUGCAGAAGAAAGCCACGCGGUCGCCGAGACAGCGUCUGGAGGGAAACUGCCACAAGCCAAGGGAUGCCCGGGGCCACCACAGGCUGGAGGAGGCAGGGAAGGACUGUCCCCAAGAGCCUUCAGAGGGAGGGACCCCUGCCCACACCUUGAUUUCAGACUUCCAGCCACAGAGCCAUUAAAGAAAACACGUCUGUGGUUUUAAGACCCGAGAUUGUGGUUCUCUGUAGCGGCAGCCCCAGGUGCUAAUGCACCCGCUCAGGAAUUAACGCUACCGAUGCUGUGUUCAUAGCGGGCACAGCUGACCAGGUGCUGGCAUAGUGCCGCCCAGUCCUCACACCCCUUCCUCUCUCCCUCGCCUAUAUUCUCGUUGUCACGUAGACAUUUCCGAGCACCGGUCCUGAGCCCCCGCGGAAACUGGCUUAACUAACUGAUACAAUCGAGCGUCUCUCAAUCACACUGGGGAGAACACCUGCCUGGGUUUCACUAAGUCCUCGGCUGGGACACUUUAGUUGCUUCCUGAUCACCAGCUGGGGGUCUCUCCCGGGGCGCCCCGCUGGGACACAUGGGUUGGCCAGCGGUCUGGAAAAGCUGUGGUCUCAGUACUCAGGACUGCAGACAGCCCUUCUGUUUGUCUUGUGUUCCUCUCUCCCCAGGUUCAAGCCACACUCCACAUGCUCCUGAAGCCUCCUCUAAACUCUCAGGAUCCCUGCUGAAUACCCCACUGGGCAUCCCGAACAUGAUCACACGUGCUGCGCUUUCCUCUGCUUCCCUCCCUCUUUGUAUCCUUGGCACCUGUGUGGGGCCUCUGCGCUGUUCAAUAAAGUUUUGUUCAACGUU